UUUUAACCCUGAUGGAAGUAGUAUCUUUUGUUUUUGUCGCAUUGAGCUUGUCGAAAUGUCAAAAACAAAAAUUUAACGGACAGCAGGAAACAGC
rnacentral:sRNA from 2 species